UCCAGUCUUGUGUUGUUUGUUUACUACUACUAAUUACUACUUAGUACUACUAAGUACUAACAGCUCUUUUUGGGAGUGUUUUUAUUUCAUCAGGAGUCUCUGAGGGUCUCCUUCACUUGCCUGUUUGAUGAAUUUUCCACAUUGGUGCUUGCUCAGUGGGUAGAUGGAGUAAUGAAUGUAUGGGUACAAGGACUGCUGCUGUUAUCUGUCCAGCCAUCUGGAAUACCUCUGAGCCUUGAGUUCCAGACAACAGACAUUGCGCUCCUAAACAUUACGAUAAUGCCUUUAGAAAUCCAAAACCCUUGACAAUGAUAUCAGUAGGCUCAUUAUGUUGCAAGACUACUGAUUUUUGAUGCUGGUCAGACAGGACCUCAGUGAUGAUAGAAAAUUUAAGGAGGAGAAUGUAAGCCAUUAGCAAUAGAUAAACAUUUAGCUAGCAACAGUUUCUAUUUAGCCAGUAUGCCCAUGUACAGUUAAGCAUCGGGAAGGUCUGUGAACCUGAAAUACUCAGGCAAUGAGGAAUCAGGGGAAAAGGUGAGCAUCAAGGUAAUAGGGCAUGUUCUUUGCUUUGUAAUAGGGUUUUGUUUGCUUUUCAUUCAGUAUCAUUUCUUACCAUUACGCAGCGUUUGUCUUGUCUUGUUUUUCAUGUUGCCAAUCAACAUUUAGUUGGAGCUUGGGUGACCCGAAUGCAUACAACUAAGUGUUGACCAAGUGUGAUGUGAAAUGAAGAGGUAGGCUCCAAAACAGGCUUCUAGUGAGUGCUGUGUACAACAUGGAGUAUCGAGAACUACCUCUGUUUCUCCCUGCCCCAUGUUGUUCAGUACCAGACGUGAAGGUUUCUUCUUUCCUUCUAGGGUUGGAGACUCCACUAUCAGAUGGCAUUGGCCUUUCAAGCCUCCCCGGGUUGUAGCGCUGGUUGUGCCCUGAUCCUUGGAAAGGGGAACUGAUUCCUUCAUCAUUACCUGAUGGUGACGUCUACUUAUCUUGUGUCCAGUGAGCGGUGGUGGAAAAACUGCGGCUCUCCCGAGUGGUGCAAGGACUCUACUGAGGCUCAUUGUGUUUAUAGUAGAAAACUACAGCCAUAGAUGGAUGCCAAUAUCCACUCCUUACUCUGUCUGGCAAGCUGUGUUGAUCUCUGAAGUUGCUCCCACACUUGUAGAAGUUCUUUGGGCUCAGCAUCAGUUGUCUCUUGCACUCACAUGGCUUUCACCAGUUGGAGCUACAGUGAGCCCAAAUGGUGACUGCUCUGCUUUGACCAAGUGAGAUGCAAAAAGAAGAGGCCCAGAAGAUGGGAACAAAGGAGUUUCUGCUGAGAUCCCAGAGCCAGAAGCUGCCGCUCCAAGGAGAGCUGACUCAACCACAUUGGAUUUGAGCUGUCACUCCAAAGACAGCUGACUCGACCACUUUGAAACUAUUGAAAAGGGGCUGUCAUCGCCAUGGUCAUGGCCGUCGUUCUCAUCAUUCUCCUCGUUGUCAACAGAACAAUGCCUGACGAC